GUAUGAAGUCGGAAUUGCUAGUAAUCGCGGAUCAGCAUGCCGCGGUGAAUACGUUCCCGGGCCUUGUACACACCGCCCGUCACACCAUGAGAGUCGAUAACACCCGAAGCCUGUGAGCUAACCUUUUAGGAGGCAGCAGUCGAAGGUGGGGUUGAUGAUUGGGGUGAAGUCGUAACAAGGUACC
rnacentral:rRNA from 1 species